rnacentral:ribozyme from 11 species
CCGUCAAGAGAGAAGGAGGGAGAGAGAGACAGACACAGAAAGAGAAGGAAGGAGAGAGAGGCCACGGGUGGCUGAGGGAUAUGAGCACCCACAGCGUUUCUUUCUCUUUUGUUUCUUUUUCCUUUUUCAGACAAGGUAGACUGACAAGUCUGUGCACCAAAGAAGAAAGGAAGGACCGAGG